rnacentral:rRNA from 1 species
ACAAUGAAGAGUUUGAUCCUGGCUCAGGAUGAACGCUAGCGGCAGGCUUAAUACAUGCAAGUCGAGGGGCAGCAUGGUUUGUAGCAAUACAGGCUGAUGGCGACCGGCGCACGGGUGCGUAACGCGUAUGGAACCCACCCGCAUCAGGGGGAUAACCCGGAGAAAUCCGGACUAAUACCGCAUGAGAUAUAGGGGAGGCAUCUUCCCGGUAUUAAAGAUUAAUCGGAUGCGGACGGCCAUGCGUCCCAUUAGCUGGUUGGCGGGGUAACGGCCCACCAAGGCGACGAUGGGUAGGGGAUCUGAGAGGAAUGUCCCCCACAUUGGUAC